GCUUUCGUAGUGUAGUGGUCAGCACGCUCGACACCUAACCGAGAGGUUCGUGGUUCAAUUCCGGCGAAAGCG
rnacentral:tRNA from 1 species